CUGGCCCAAAACUACUUGCGGGACCUUUUGCUGUUGUUCUUGUUCGUUUCUUCCACCACCUCUUUCGCUGCUGUCCUCACCAACUCCUACUCGCCCUGGAGCUGUAAAGACAGGAGGAAGGGGUUUCGUGUUGGACCACAGGCGCUGGCCAGCUCCUAUGAGGAGGGUCAUCGACGACUUGCUGACCAAAUACCAGGGACAGGAGGACAUGCUCAGGCUUGUGGAUCACGACUGAACACCACUUCUCUGAAUAUAAGUCCAGAAACAGUUCAAGUGACACAACAACUUUCUGACAGCGGCAGUGGGAGGGACAAAAGAAGAUCCAGACAAAAACCUGUCAUUCUUGUAGGCAGCGCAAAUCGAGGUACCACAACAAUGGUUCCUCGUUACACUUCUCCCAUCAGCGGGAACUGGAUGCUACCAAAAGAAAAGGUGGAGGAGAAAGGGCACCAGAAAAGAAAAAGAACUGAGCCUGAACCUCCUCCUGCAUCUCCAUCCACAGGAGGCAGGUGUGGCUUCUGCCGAAAAGAACUGAAACAGACCUCACAUACACACUGGCUUCUCUGAUAUUGUUGGCAAAUACAAAUACUGCCCAGCAAAAGUUCUCUCCUUGUAUGAGAAUAAUGUCAUGAAGAGACAGAUAACCUGGAGGGAGUUUCAGGCAUCUCCUUUCUAUAUUAUGGAAACAGAGAGAUGGGCAGUAGAGAAGGGGAAUUAUGAGAUAUUCAGUCACUUUUGACAGUGUAAUACUAAAACUGGAGACUGAAUAAAGGGACUUUGGCCAAUUCUUUCGCA
rnacentral:lncRNA from 1 species